rnacentral:tRNA from 1 species
CGGGCUAUAGCGCAGUUGGCUAGCGCGCGUCGUUCGGGACGACGAGGUCGGCAGUUCGAGUCUGCCUAGCCCGACCA